GGUGUCGACACCAGUCAGCGAGUUUCGCCCAUUGGUGCAAUAC
rnacentral:sRNA from 1 species